AGCACUUUGUUUCACCAUCUAUUAUAGCUUUUCUUUGUCAGUUUCUUCUGUUGUAAAGAAUACAGUUUGUUAUUAUCAUAGUCAAAAUGAUAGAAUGUAUAUUUGAAAAAUAAGAUUCUCUUAAAUUCUUGACUCAUAAUUCUCCAAGCCAGGCUUCAACAGUACGUGAACCAUGAAUUUCCAGAUGUUCAAGCUGGAGUUUGAAAAGGCAGAGGAACCUGAGAUCAAAUUGCCAACAUCCGUUGGAUCAUUGAAAAAGCAAUAGAGUUCCAGAAAAACAUCUACUUUUGCUUUAUUGACUAUGCCAAAGCAUUUGACUGUGGAUCACAACAAGCAGUGGAAAAUUCUUAAAGAGAUGAGAAUACUAGACCACCUGACCUGCCUCCUGAGAAACCUGUAUGCAGGUCAAGAAGCAACAGUUAGAACUGGACAUGGUACAGCAGACUGAUUCCAAAUUGGAAAAGGAACACAUCAAAGCUGUAUUUUGUCACCCUGCUUAUUUAACUUAUAUGCAGAGUACAUCAUGAGAAAUGCUGGACUGGAUGAAGCAUAAGCUGGAAUCAAGAUUGCCGGGACAAAUAUCAAUAACCUCAGAUAUGCAGAUGACACCACCCUUAUGGCAGAAGGUGAAGAAGAACUAAAGAGCCUCUUGAUGAAAGUGAAAGACGAGAGUACAAAAGUUGGCUUAAAACUCAACAUUCAGAAAGCUAAAAUCAUGGCAUCUGGUCCCAUCACUUCAUGGCAAAUAGAUGGGGAAACAAUAGAAACAGUGACAGACUUUAUUUUUUUGGACUCCAAAAUCACUGCAGAUGGUGACUGCAGCCAUGAAAUUAAAAGACACUUGCUCCUUGGAAGAAAAGUUAUGACCAACCUCGACAGCAUAUUAAAAAGCAGAGAGAGACAUUACUUUGCCAACAAAGGUCCAUCUAGUUUAGGCUCUGGUUUUUCCAGUAGUCAUGUAUGGAUGUGAGAGUUGUACUAUAAAGAAAACUGAGUGCCGAAGAAUUGAUGCUUUUGAACUGUGGUGUUGGAGAAGACUCUUGAGAGUCCCUUGGACUGCAAGGAGAUCCAACCAGUCCAUCCUAAAAGGAAUCAAUCCUGAAUACUCAUUGGAAGGACUGAUGUUGAAGCUGAAACUCCAAUACUUUGGCCACCUGAUGCAAAGAACUGACUCAUUUGAAAAGACCCUGAUGCUGGGAAAGUUUGAAGGUGGGAGGAGAAGGGGACGAUAGAGGAUGAGAUGGUUGGAUGGCAUCAUCGUCUCAAUGGACAUGGGUUUGAGUAGGUUCCAGGAGUUGGUGAUGGACAGGGAAGCCUGGCAUGCUGCAGUCCAUGGGGUUACAAAGAGUUGGAUAUGACUGAGCGACUGAACUAUAACUAACUAUAAAUUCUUGACUCAGAUGACUUAGUGAAUUACUGUUGGAGUUGUUAUUUUCAUACCAGGAAAUUUCCAGGAUAAUUAUGGAAACAUGAAAAAACAGCUUCCACUGCUAAGUAAAACCCAACUUCCGUUUUUCAGAAUUACAAGUUUUAUUGUAAAAAAUUUUAACCCAAUGAACAUAUUUGCUUUAGAUCUAUGAGUUAAGGUAAGUCAGAAGGGGGUCUUUUCAUUUGGGUGUUUAACCAGGAAACUUAUUUUGAAAAGGAAAAAAUAAAACUAAUUUUAAAUUUCUUGUUUCUUUGCAGAUAGUUUCCAAACCUGAAGGCACAAGGGAGGAUGAAAGUAAAUGGAAAGGGGCAUUAAGGAGUCAGUGGUCAUAGGAAAGAAAGCACACUGAACAGUGUCGUCAGUAAAUCACUAUAACCCCAGGACACUAACACCCUUGAAAAAAGCGCAUGGCAAAUAAUGCUUUUAUGGGUAUACUUAGUAAUUUUCUCCCAUGAGAAAAAUUAAAACCAAAGUGUUUCAUGGAGUCAUUCUGAGAUAAUCUUUGAAAUAUUAUCAAAAAGGAACUGGUCUGUUUUAUACUUCAGGGGGGAAAAUGUUCACAUUUUAGAAUAGCAUUCUGUGAUUAUUUUUAAUGGGAAAAUAAAAUAUAGGUGACUUCUCCAGG